GACGAACGCUGGCGGCGUGCUUAACACAUGCAAGUCGAACGGAAAGGCCCUGCUUUUGUGGGGUGCUCGAGUGGCGAGCGGGUGAGUAACACGUGAGUAACCUGCCCUUGACUUUGGGAUAACUUCAGGAAACUGGGGCUAAUACCGGAUAGGAGCUCCUGCUGCAUGGUGGGGGUUGGAAAGUUUCGGCGGUUGGGGAUGGACUCGCGGCUUAUCAGCUUGUUGGUGGGGUAGUGGCUUACCAAGGCUUUGACGGGUAGCCGGCCUGAGAGGGUGACCGGCCACAUUGGGACUUAGGUACGGCCCAGACUCCUACGGGAGGCAGCAGUGGGGAAUAUUGCACAAUGGGCGGAAGCCUGAUGCAGCAACGCCGCGUGCUGGAUGACGGCCUUCGGGUUGUAAACCGCUUUCGCCUGUGACGAAGCGUGAGUGACGGUAAUGGGUAAAGAAGCACCGGCUAACUACGUG
rnacentral:rRNA from 1 species